GAAGUGAGAACCUGUGGCAAAACCCAUCUUUCCGAUAUUCAUCUCUAAUUUGGCAAUCCGUCAUUAUGUCAUCAGCUUCAUAAAUUAUUUUUCUCAGGUUAGGCAAGAUCUUCUGCAUGAACUCCCCCCGAGUUUUCUGCUUAUCAGUGCAGGAGAUGAAGGCAGUCAUUAGCUCAAGCUUUGUCUUCAUUGCCGCAAGCUGAUCUUUAAAAUCAAGUGCGUACUGAGCUUGAGUCAGCAAAGCAGAAAACACUUUCUCUAUCAAUGUCCCAAUCAUCGCCUCUGUCGCUUUCGACGCCGCCAUAUCCUCGGGCAAAUGUUCCCUGUUAAUUUCAUGUUCAUUAUCAUCUCAGUAAAGUAUACAUCUUAUGAGCUCGUAUGGGCUUCUGCUACAACCAUACAAUCAUGACACACAUAAAGUACUAUUCCACUCACUAAGGGAAUGGACUUUUGGAGCAAGCAAGCCUCCUAUUGUCUUGAUUGCCAGCGGUAGUCCCCCGCAUUUCUUCAAGAUCUCUCUGCCUUUUUUUUCAAACUCCUUAUUGGGGCAUUUUCCCUUGCUCGUUAAAAAUGCAUGCUUGCAGGGUAAUGACCAACUCUCCUCUUCAUUUAAAAUUUUUGGGGGAUCAAUUCUUGACUCAUCAACUCCCAUACUGUUGACAACGGUUUCAUUUCUAGAUGUGAUGAUAGCGAAGUAUCUUUUUUCAGUCGGAUAUAAAUUCUUCCACCAAUCUAGAUUCAUUCUCCACACAUCAUCCAUUACAAUGAGACAGGUCUUGUCACUGAGCCUCUGUUGAAUUUUGUGCAGCAAAUGACUUUCUUCAAUUCCCGAUUCAUCCUCUCCCAGCUGUUUCAACAUGGCCCUCAUGACUCGUUCCUCGCAGAAAUUCUGAGAAACUGGCACCCAUAUCCUCUUCUCAAAGUAUGCAACCAUCUCUCCAUCAUUGAAUAUCUUUUGGGCAAUGGUGGUUUUGCCUAAACCACCCAUACCCACAAUACCGAUUUGCUGAAGCUUCUCAUUACUGCUAAGGAUCCACCCUUUAAUCUUUUCCAAGUCCUUCUCCAAACCGAUUAUUUCAGAUGGUUCCUGGUCCUCUGGGGAAUAUUUAAAUAUUUGGUAUGAUGAAUUAUUAGGCCCCUGCUGGAUGAUUGGCUGUUCUGCUCUUCCAUACACCCCCAAGCUAGACUCCAUUUUCUCAAUCCGUGAAUUGAUAUGCUUCAAAUCCUUGCCUGUUUGGUAUAUGAAAAACAAGUCACGAAGUGAGAACCUGUGGCAAAACCCAUCUUUCCGAUAUUCAUCUCUAAUUUGGCAAUCCGUCAUUAUGUCAUCAGCUUCAUAAAUUAUUUUUCUCAGGUUAGGCAAGAUCUUCUGCAUGAACUCCCCCCGAGUUUUCUGCUUAUCAGUGCAGGAGAUGAAGGCAGUCAUUAGCUCAAGCUUUGUCUUCAUUGCCUCAAGCUGAUCUUUAAAAUCAAGUGUGUACUGAGCUUGAGUCAGCAAAGCAGAAAACACUUUCUCUAUCAAUGUCCCAAUCAUCGCCUCUGUCGCUUUCGACGCCGCCAUAUCCUUGGGAAA
rnacentral:lncRNA from 1 species